CGUAGUUAGCCGAGACUUAUUCCUGUGGUACCGUCCUUCCUCUUCCACAGAAAAGUGGUUUACAACCGAAGGCCGUCAUCCCACACGCGGCGUUGCUGCGUCAGGCUUUUCGCCCAUUGUCGCAAUAUCCCUU
rnacentral:rRNA from 1 species